ensembl:lncRNA
CAGAAAUCAUCCCUUUGUUUCCUUAUUGUCAAAUGCUCCAUUUGAGCUAAUUUACUAAAACAUAGCAAUACUGUUAUUACUCAUCAUGCCAUGACUUUUCAGAAUCUAUUUGUUUUAAAACAAUACAGGUCAUUUUUGCUUCUGCAGUUCCGUGAUACCAUUUAUUCAAUACCAGCAUCCAUGGUGCCAUCCAUGAAUGUCAGUUAAUGGUGACUCUCAAAGGUUGUUACUUUGCUUUUUCAAGGAUGACCAUGAAUGCAAGGCAUAAACGGUGGGCAGGAAAAUGUGAACAAUGUUUUAUUUUCAGGUUAUGCGAGAUUGUGCAAUCAGAAUUUUACACAGGAACAGAUCUUCUGAUCACGACUGCUCUUGAACCUUUGGCUAUCAUUUCUGCAUUCGUCAGUGAUGAGCACCCCCCUGCCUUCUCGCUGCCACCCGUGGCCAUUGUGAGAAAAGCGAUUGAUUCCAUGCCCACGAGGAAUGUUUUCUGUCUCUCUCUCUUGAAGAUUGGCUGGAGAAGGCAUGCUGUUGGAAGAGCCUGUUGGUUUGGCUGGGCAAGGACCACCCCAGGACUGCCUGGCAUGUGGCAUGAAGCUUGUAAGGAGGUGGGCUCCCUGGUGACCUGCUUCUAACACACAGAAUACAGCCAAAGGGAUGGAGG